AACGAACGCUGGCGGCAUGCCUAACACAUGCAAGUCGAACGAGACCUUCGUGUCUAGUGGCGCACGGGUGCGUAACGCGUGGGAACCUGCCCUUAGGUUCGGAAUAACUCCCCGUAAGGGGUGCUAAUACCGGAUAAUUUCUUCUGACCAAAGAUUUAUCGCCUUUGGAUGGGCCCGCGUUGGAUUAGCUAGUUGGUAGGGUAAAAGCCUACCAAGGCGACGAUCCAUAGCUGGUCUGAGAGGAUGAUCAGCCACACUGGGACUGAGACACGGCCCAGACUACUACGGGAGGCAGCAGUGGGGAAUAUUGGACAAUGGGCGAAAGCCUGAUCCAGCAAUGCCGCGUGAGUGAUGAAGGCCUUAGGGUUGUAAAGCUCUUUUAUCCGGGAUGAUAAUGACAGUACCGGGAGAAUAAGCUCCGGCUAACUCCGUG
rnacentral:rRNA from 1 species